GACUCUCGGCAACGGAUAUCUUGGCUCUCGCAUCGAUGAAGAACGCAGCGAAAUGCGAUAAGUGUUGCGAAUUGCAGAAUCCCGUGAACCAUCCAUUUUUUGAAUGCAAGUGGCGCCCGAGGAUGCUAGCCGAGGGCACACCCGCAUGGGCGUGAUGCGUUGCCUCGCUCCUUGCA
rnacentral:rRNA from 3 species